ACGAACGCUGGCGGCGGGCUUAACACAUGCAAGUCGAACGGAAAGGCCCCUUUGGGGGUACUCGAGUGGCGAACGGGUGAGGAACACGUGAGUAACCUGCCCUUGACUUCGGGAUAACUUCAGGAAACUGGGGCUAAUACCGGAUAGGAAUCCUUGCUGCAUGGUGGGGGUUGGAAAGCUUCGGCGGUUUGGGUUGGACUCGCGGCGUAUCAGCUUGUUGGUGGGGUAGUGGCUUACCAGGGCUUUGACGGGUAGCCGGACUGAGAGGGCUACCGGCCACAUUGGGACUGCGAUCCGGCCCAGACUCCUACGGGAGGCAGCAGUGGGGAAUAUUGCCCAAUGGGAGGAAGCCUGAUGCAGAAACGCCGCGUGCGGGAUGACGGCCUUCGGGUUGUAAACCGCUUUCAGCAGGGGCGAAGCUUGUGGUGACGGUACCUGCAGAAGAAGCACCGGCUAACUACGUG
rnacentral:rRNA from 1 species